GGUUGGUUCUGAAUUGGGAAUCUCUCUCGGUUUCCUGCUUCUGCUUCUGGUUCUCUCAGAAUUCUAGCCCUAGGAAUUUUCUUCUUAAUUUUGUCCUGAUUGCGUUGCCUGAUUGAAUUUUUAGGUUGAUGCUCGACUCUCUUGAAACUCUGGCACUCGAGAUUGAUCAUGCAGUACCUUGAUCAGGAACUUCAUUAUCAAAAGCUUAAGAUGUGGAGUUUACGGUCUCAAAUAGAAGAUUGAUUAUGAUUUUCUGUAACUUGGUUUCAAAGGUUUAUGAAGAUUUGGAGUUUCUGCUGCCACAGAGAAGAAGGUAAACCCUAAAGCAGAUCUAUCUAACUAUUCAUUAGUUACUCAUUGUGUAACUAACGUUGGACCGAGUUUAUGAUUAUGGUUGUGUGGACCAAGUUUAUACGAUUCUUCAAUAUUUGGAUUGUUGGUUUGAUUUUUAUCAGGGGUUCUUACUUUCUUAGUUGGUAUUUACAGGUUUUCUUAGAUGGUAUGAAUUGAAGUCUUUCCUCCUGACCCAGAAUUCUUCUCAUGCUGAAAACGCCUCGAUUUUUGCUUUGUAUAGGGUUUGAUAAUUGAUUUCUACUUUACUUAUUCGUCGCAGGAAUUGAUGAGAGGUUCUGUCUUCAUUACCAACUGUAUUUUCUUUGUUGUGUUGUUGUUGAUCAUCCAGCAAUAUUGUUCAUCAGAAUUGUCGCCAUAGAUCGAAGUUACGCUGGGUUAUUUCAGCAAAGAGAUCGCUGAAACCCUUAUUUAUAAAAUUCAAGCUUUAGUCUCAAUUCCAACAUGUUCUGUAGUGGUAUUGGCUAUGAAGUGGUACAACCUGCUUCAGGUGGAUGCAUGCUUGGUGCCCAUGCUCAUCAGUCGAUUGCAUUUAUAUAUGUACCUCAAGAGGAAAGAAUAGGUAUUGAAAAGAUAUGUUCACCCUUAGUUGCUAUUGUUGACACCAGUGCCAAAGAAGAACCGACCACUAUUCCAUCCUUUUCCCAAAUCAAGGCCUCCUGGAAUUUAAGGUGGUGCUAAUAUUUUAGCUAUCAUUUGUAUGCAAGAAUUCAUUGACGAUCAAGUGCCAGGUGAGUUAAGGAAAUUUCAUUUAGGUAUGGGACUUUUCUGGAUCAUAGUAGAUUUUAAUUAAAUUUUUGGUUUUAAAAAUGUUCGGUGUUGGUCAUGGUUGGGGAGCUUUGGUAGCAUUUUUUGUUGAAAUCCGGAAGAGUUAAAGCUGUAUAGUAAAAAUGAGUUUUGCUUUUCCAAAUACAGUAGUGAACAAGACCAGUUGAGAGUGUAGGAGCUGCUUUUCGGUAAUGAUUACGAAAUUCGCAGAUUUCAUGUUUAUUCUUCUUUUUCUAUUUCUGAUUUUAUUCGUGAAAUGCUGAU